GGCAAACGGGUGCGGAACACGUACACAACCUUCCUUUUAGUGGGGAAUAGCCCAGAGAAAUUUGGAUUAAUACCCCGUAACAUAGCGAUGUGGCAUCACAUUGCUAUUAUAGCUUCGGCGCUAGAUGAUGGGUGUGCGUAUGAUUAGAUAGUUGGCGAGGUAACGGCUCACCAAGUCUACGAUCAUUAGCUGAUGUGAGAGCAUGAUCAGCCACACGGGCACUGAGACACGGGCCCGACUCCUACGGGAGGCAGCAGUAAGGAAUAUUGGUCAAUGGACGAAAGUCUGAACCAGCCAUGCCGCGUGAAGGAUUAAGGUCCUCUGGAUUGUAAACUUCUUUUAUAUGGGACGAAAAAAGGUCUUUCUAGAUCACUUGACGGUACCAUAUGAAUAAGCACCGGCUAACUCCGUGCCAGCAGCCGCGGUAAUACGGAGGGUGCAAGCGUUAUCCGGAUUCACUGGGUUUAAAGGGUGCGUAGGCGGGUAGGUAAGUCAGUGGUGAAAUCCUGGAGCUCAACUCCAGAACUGCCAUUGAUACUAUCUAUCUUGAAUAUUGUGGAGGUAAGCGGAAUAUGUCAUGUAGCGGUGAAAUGCUUAGAUAUGACAUGGAACACCCAUUGCGAAGGCAGCUUACUACGCAUAUAUUGACGCU
rnacentral:rRNA from 1 species